UCAUUGUUCUCUCAAUACAUUUCUCAAGCAGCUCUCUGUUACUAACCCUCCUCUCACUCGUGCCUAAGCUUCUUCUCUCCUUUCGUUCAACGUUGUGGCGUCGCUGUGAAAACCCUCAAAGGUAAGAAUUGAACUCCCUCGAAGCCCCUUAGUUUUAUGUUUCUAUUCGAGUUUGUCUCACCCACAAAUUUUUUCUCUCACCCAAGUGCUUGUUUUCAUGUUUACAUUUCUGACCCUCGAACCUCCGCGUCCUCUCUCACUCAAGCUUUCAUUUUGCCUUCUCUCUUUUAAACCUCUACAAAGCUACGCUGUCGCAAUUGCUCUCUCAACUCUCUCCGCCAAAGCUCUCUAUGGAGCUAAGAAUCCCUGUCAAAGUGUUUCUUUUCCUUCCAUGUAGGUAUUGUGGUUGAAUCCAUGGCCCCUUUGGCUGCGUCGUGUGUGGCUAGGGCAACAAUGAUUAAUUUAUUUAUUUUCUUGAUUACUCAAUUGUUUUUUCAUCUAUGAACUUAGGAUUCUUAGUUCUAAACCAGUAUGAGCGAGACAUUGAUCCAUUCUAAGCAUUUGCAAACUCUACCUAUUGUCUUAUAACCCAUUAAUGGUACUUCUAGUGCCAUUUUCUGUAUUUUUUUACAUCUAUGUAUACAAGUAUUUGCUGAUUUAAAAAAAAUGUUUUCUUCUCAGCAUAACUCAAACUAAAAUAAAUUUAUUUUUGUCAGUGUUGUCUGAGACCUUGAUAUGGAAUAUUUGGUAUUAUUGACAUAAGCAUUGGCCCAAGGGACUAGCUGAAGAUUGACAAUGCUGAUAACAUUAUUGUAGAAGACAUUCAGCAGAUGCUGAUGAAACUGGAGGUUUGAAUCUAUUAUUUCCUAUAAAACUAUUCAUCCCCAACUCUGUAACAGGCCUCAGUGUCCCUCUUCAACUCUCUCAUCAAUGCCUUCAACGAUGCUACCAUUCCUUACAGAGACGGAUCUCCCUUACUUAGUGUCCACCUUUGCUCCACUUACACUCACUUUAAUCACCAACUAUUUAAAAUUAUCCUGCACUUUCCUGAGGCUCUAAUCACUCAUCCAAGUAUCUCAUUGACUCCACCCAAUUCAAACAAGUAGAAGUCCUAAAUUACCUGAAGAUUGGGUAAUUGCAGCAAAAAUUGUUUGCACCCCUCUUGGUUUUCCACUGUGUCCAUCUCCCACCACCACGUUGUAUUCUUUUGGUACCUUCUGGUUUAAUUCCCAAUGAUUCUAGUAUUCUACCACUACCAAGGGAGGAGGGGUGAGAAUAACAUAGGCCUGGGCUUCUUUUGUUGGAGAAAGAUCUAUACUCUUACUCGUUGAUUAACUAAUAAUUUUCUUUCAUGGAAUGCCUUGUCCCAAGGAACAUGUACUAGACUUGGAAUGCCUUGUCCACAAGAACAUGUACUAGUACACUCCGUCAACACUCAGAUUAUGUUACUUGCGUUGCUGUAGCGGGAAAAAAAAUAAGUGUCGUGAAUUUUAGAGCAAUGUGAUUGCCUCUGGUGGCCUUGGCGGGGAGGUUUUUAUAUGGGAUAUCGAAGCUGCACUAGCUUCAGCUACAAAAUGCAAUGAUCCAAUGGAUGAUGAUGAUAAUUCAAAUGAUAUCAAUGUUUCUGGAAACUCAUUACCAAUGACAAGCUUACGUAACAUCAGCUCAAGUAGCAGUAUAUCUAUGCACACUACUCAAUCUAAAGGAUACAAUCCAAUUGUUGCCAAAGGCCAUAAGGAAUCCGUUUAUGCAUUGGCAAUGAAUGAAGGUGGAACACUUCUUGUCUCCGGUGGUACAGAAAAGGUUGUGCGUAUUUGGGAUCCGAGACCUGGAUCAAAGACUUUGAAUCUAAAAGGGCACAAUAAAUUUUACACUGCAACAGUAACCUCUACGCCUAAACAAUUAAUGAUUAUGAUAGUUAUAAAUAUUUACUCUCCAAGCCAUGAAAAAAAAAUUAACACACACAGCAGUUUACAAGAUAUGCAUGUUAU